GGAGGAGUAGGGAUGACGCGAGAAGUUGGUUCGCGGGCUUGAAAACCGUUGUCCGCAAGGACUUGUGGGUUCGAGUCCCACGCCCUCCG
rnacentral:tRNA from 1 species